UACGAAGGGGGCUAGCGUUGUUCGGAAUUACCGGGCGUAAAGCGAACGUAGGCGGUGUUCCAUGUCAGAGGUGAAAGCCUGGGGCUCAACUCCAGAAUUGCCUUUGAAACGGGGACGCUUGAGUCCGAGAGAGGAUGGCGGAAUUCCUAGUGUAGAGGUGAAAUUCGUAGAUAUUAGGAAGAACACCGGUGGCGAAGGCGGCCAUCUGGCUCGGUACUGACGCUCAGGUUCGAAAGCGUGGGGAGCAAACAGG
rnacentral:rRNA from 1 species